rnacentral:lncRNA from 1 species
CUGAUGGGAGCCCAAGAGCAGAUACGGCAGCUGGAGGUGCAAGUGGCAGAGCUGGAGCGGACCCAGGGGAAGAAGCCUCUUGGCAAAGCGGCUGCGCCACAGCGGCAGGAGAGCGAGCGCCUGAGCGGUUCCCUCCGCCCUGGAGCCAAAGGUCUGGAAGAGCAGAUCUCGACUCUGAAGGAGCAGCUGCAUCAAGGCACCAAGAAGGGGCAGCCUUAUUUCCCAGCUCCCCCUCUCUUUUCCGGACACUAGCUGUGGCAGGAGCCGAGCCCCGUCAUCCCUGCGGAGCGCCACGGCAAGAAGGGCCACCGACCUCCAACCCGUCAGGGCCUAGAUUCACGCACAGCGCAAGGUAGUGCGAAAUGCUCCUUAUUUAAAAAAAAAAAAUUUUUUUUUUCCAAGAAGUCCUCGGUGGUCGGAUCCGAGCUGGAUCAGAAGAAGAAUUCGUCCCCUAUAAAGACAACCGAAAAGAACCCCCUCCCGGGGGUGGUGGAAGCGAGGGGCGAUCCAAGCCGGCCUGGUGCCAAGAUGGCUCCAUUCGUUCCGUGAUGGAG